GAUGUCGCGAGGGAUCGAGGAUCUGAACCAAUAGACGUUUCCGCGCUUGAUCAGACGAGGGUGUGAUGGCAUGUCGUUCA
rnacentral:sRNA from 1 species